UAUGAGACCUACGCUCUGCCGACUGAGCUAAAGAGGC
rnacentral:tRNA from 1 species